GGUCUCAAACUCCUGGCCUCAAGUGAUCCACCUGCCUCGGCCUCCCACAGUGCUGGGAUUCCAGGCGUAGCUGCCGCUCCCAGCGUGUUCUUCAGGUUUUUACUGAAUAUCUAUUAUGUGCUGAUAUUGAGGUAGACUCCGGGGGUCUCAGCAGUGAAUGCAGCUGCCCGAAUACGUCGUGAAGGCCGGGGUCUCACUGGGGAGAUGGAAAUGAACAGGAAACACACAGCGAGGUUGGUCCUGGCACCUGAGACCACACUGAGGCUGAAGGAGGGGCCGGCAGUGCUGGGGCAGGGCUGCGGCUCUCAGCAUCCUGAUGUGAAACCAUCUCCGGCGGGAAAGCCAGGGGUCUGUGCGGGGAUGCCGCCGGACGCGAGAGCCAGCCAAGACCUAUGGCCCCUGCAGCCACCGAGGGCUCGAGAGCAGCCCCGUGGACUUGGCUGGGCCCUUCGUGGUGACAUCCAGGAAUGUGGGUGAGCGUGGGUAUUGACCUCGCUAUUUGCUGGAGUCAGUGUUUGGGUUCUUGGACCACAUCAGGGAUGGCUGUGUCACUGUGGCCUCGCCUUCCCCAGGAAAACGUAACGUGCACCCCGCGCCUGUCCUCUGGGACUGCCAUCAUCCUACUUUGUCUGACCCCACGGGGGCUUACUGUUUCCCCAGGGCAGCACUGGCUGUGGCCCUCAGCCCUGCUCUGGGCGGCCAUGUCAGCAUCCUCCCUCAGCGCUCCCAACACCCCACCUGGCUCUGCGAUGGCCGCCCUUGAGUCCCUUGACUCCCGAAUGUCCCAGAAAGGGAAGAGAUUUAAGAGGAACCUUGACUCCCACCGUUCUGCACAGUCGUUGGUCCCUCCUCCACCCGGGGCCCUCCAUGGGAGUUCUGUCCACACCCCUAGCCAGCAACCCCUCUCGGUUCCUGCAGCUGGAGCGCCCCUCUCUCCUGAACAUUCGGACACCUGCGUCUCUCACUGCAGCCGGAGGGCUAGAGCGUCUUCGGUCAGCUCGCCAUCCCUGCCACGACUGGAGGCUACGUGUCCCAGAACCUAUCUUGCUGGGAUGGGAGUUGGGGUGGCAGAUGCUGAAUGCAUGUGAGGUUUGGGGGAGGAUGAGCGGAGCUGGGGUGUGUGGGAGGUACUGGUGGCCACCAUGAGGAUGGUCACACCCCAUGGCUUUGUUGAUGCGGUGGCUGUAGCAGGCCCAGUGGCUCCACCGAGCCUCCCUAGCACCGGUGCCAAGUGAAGUGUUGGGGGGCUGGACACAGGUGGCCUCGGUUCCUGGGACUCCCCCAAUGCUCUGGUUUCCUCCCUGCUCCCAGGCUUCAGGUGGAUGAGUUAGUGACUAUCACCACUCCAGACCUGCCUCCCCCAGCCACCCCCACAGUUGUAAAAACCUUCAUUCUCAUAUGGAACCCCCUUUCCUGAAAUCCAUAGAGUAACUGACUGCUUUCUUGAGUGAAUCUAGACUGGACCACAUGACAGUUGCUGCACAGAGCAGCUCAGCUCCUCUGUCUCAGCCUCCCUGACUUCACAGCAGGCUCUGGGCAUCAUCUCCGUGUCAUCCUAAGGCCACGGGCGGGGUUCCCAUCAAACAGGAGGGCAGCUCUCCCGAGAUGAAACCUUCCGAUAGCCCCAGAACCAAGACGAACCGUGUGGGGUUGGGUGGGGGUGUUUAGUGUGCACUCCUGAUGUUCUCUCCCAGUGAAGGACACCCAUGUGGGACCUUGUGGCCCCUGGCCCUCCCUCCUCCCCUUGGUGGCACAGGGAACUUCCUGGUGGGUGACAGCCCAUGGUCCACCCUUGCCAGGUCGAUUCAGACAAAAUAUGCCAGGCUGUGUGCUGAAGGCAUCCCAUCUCUUCCUUGUCCCCUCUCGGCUGGAUCGGGGUGAGGCAGGGGGUGGUGAGUGUGUCUGUCCCGCCAGCUCAGCCUCCAGUUGGUCUGCUCCGGGGCAGGAGCCCACCUGACUCUCCUGCAGAGCUGCACGGCCUGCCUGGCCUCACUCAUAACAACAGAGACUUUGGUUCUCCAUCUGCAGACACAUUUGUCUCGUUUCUUAUUCGGUCCAGAACUUGGGUGGGAAGAAGGGUGAUGUUAUUUGGGUCCCCUCAAGACCUUGACAACAGAUAGUUUUUAAAAUAGCUUUUUAAAGCCACCAACUUUCUCUCCUCCACCUUGGUAUUUCCCUGAUUUUAAACAGAAUGUCGACUCUGGAGGCAGAAAGCUUGGGCUUGGAUCUGGGCCCUGCCACGCAGUAGCUAUGUGGCCAGGGAAUGCAUAGCUUCUGGAUCUCCGAUCCCUACAGUAAGCGUCUCUGAAUUGGGAUGCGUCUGACAGCAAGUGCGGCAUCCGGGCUGCAGUUGCCGUUGUCUGCUCACAUGUGAAUUAAAAAAACAAUCAGCAUAAGAAAUCUCUAAUCACACGUGAACUUGGCGGUUAUUCCUGGUGCCAUGUGGACAACUGCAGCCUUGACACCCCA